rnacentral:rRNA from 1 species
CCUAUCUACGUGUAGACAGCUGAAGGUACCUGAAGAAUAAGGAUCGGCUAACUCCGUGCCAGCAGCCGCGGUAAUACGGAGGAUCCGAGCGUUAUCCGGAUUUAUUGGGUUUAAAGGGUGCGCAGGCGGACUGGUAAGUCAGGGGUGAAAUUCUACGGCUCAACUGUAGGCGUGCCUUUGAUACUGCCGGACUAGAGUUAAGUUGGAGUGGGCGGAAUGUGUUGUGUAGCGGUGAAAUGCUUAGAUAUAACACAGAACACCGAUCGCGAAGGCAGCUCACUAAACUUAGACUGACGCUCAUGCACGAAAGCGUGGGGAUCAAACAGGAUUAGAUACCCUGGUAGUCCACGCUGUAAACGAUGAUCACUCGCUGUUGGCGAUAUACAGUCAGUGGCUAAGCGAAAGUGAUAAGUGAUCCACCUGGGGAGUACGACCGCAAGGUUGAAACUCAAAGGAAUUGACGGGGGCCCGCACAAGCGGAGGAGCAUGUGGUUUAAUUCGAUGAUACGCGAGGAACCUUACCAGGGCUCGAACGUUCAGCGAUUUACCGUGAAAGCGGUAUUCCCUUCGGGGCGAUGAACGAGGUGCUGCAUGGUUGUCGUCAGCUCGUGCCGUGAGGUGUCAGGUUAAGUCCUAUAACGAGCGCAACCCCUAUCGAUAGUUGCCAGCGGGUAGAGCCGGGCACUCUAUUGAAACUGCCUACGCAAGUAGAGAGGAAGGUGGGGAUGACGUCAAAUCAGCACGGCCCUUAUGUCCUGGGCUACACACGUGCUACAAUGGUCGGUACAGAGGGCCGCUACCNGGUGACCGGAUGCAAAUCUCAAAAGCCGAUCUCAGUUCGGAUCGGAGUCUGCA